GCCCAGGGAUGGGACUGCGGUCUAUCAGGCUGUUGGUGGUGUAACGGACCACCAAACCUACGACGGGUACAGGCGAUGGGAGUCGGAGCCUGGAGAUGGGGACUGAGACAAGGCCCCAGGCCCUACGGGGCGCAGCAGGCGCGAAAACUCCGCAAUGCGCGUAAGCGUGACGGGGGGACCCCAAGUGCCGUUGGUCUUUUGAUCGACGGCUUUUAGGAAGUCUAUGAAGCUUCCAGAAUAAGGGCUGGGUAAGACUGGUGCCAGCCGCCGCGGUAACACCAGCAGCCCAAGUGGUGGCCACGAUUAUUGGGCCUAAAGCGCUCGUAGCCGGGUCAGCAAGUCCCUUGUGAAAUCGGGCCGCCUAACGGUUCGGCGUGCAAGGGAUACUGUUGGUCUUGAGGCCGGGAGAGGUCGGAGGUACUCCUGGGGUAGCGGUGAAAUGCUCUAAUCCUGGGGGGACCACCAGUGGCGAAGGCGUCCGACCAGAACGGACCUGACGGUGAGGGGCGAAGGCUAGGGGAGCGAACGGGAUUAGAUACCCCGGUAGUCCUAGCUGUAAAGCAUGCGGGCCAGGUGUCUAGCGCUCCUCGAGGGCGCUAGGUGCCGGAGGGAAGCCGUUAAGCCCGCCGCCUGGGAAGUACGGCCGCAAGGUUGAAACUUA
rnacentral:rRNA from 1 species